GGGUCGGUGGUCUAGAUUGGCUUCAUUGAGUCAUUCGUGGCUCUUUUCCAGGGGAUCGGGAGUUCAAAUCUCCCCCGGCCCACCA
rnacentral:tRNA from 1 species